AGUGAACGCUGGCGGUAGACCUAACACAUGCAAGUCGAACGGCAGCACAGUAAGAGCUUGCUCUUACGGGUGGCGAGUGGCGGACGGGUGAGGAAUACAUCGGAAUCUACUUUUUCGUGGGGGAUAACGUAGGGAAACUUACGCUAAUACCGCAUACGACCUACGGGUGAAAGCAGGGGAUCUUCGGACCUUGCGCGAUUGAAUGAGCCGAUGUCGGAUUAGCUAGUUGGCGGGGUAAAGGCCCACCAAGGCGACGAUCCGUAGCUGGUCUGAGAGGAUGAUCAACCACACUGGAACUGAGACACGGUCCAGACUCCUACGGGAGGCAGCAGUGGGGAAUAUUGGACAAUGGGCGCAAGCCUGAUCCAGCCAUACCGCGUGGGUGAAGAAGGCCUUCGGGUUGUAAAGCCCUUUUGUUGGGAAAGAAAAGCAGCAGGUUAAUACCCCGCUGUUCUGACGGUACCCAAAGAAUAAGCACCGGCUAACUUCGUG
rnacentral:rRNA from 1 species